rnacentral:tRNA from 1 species
GGGUGAGUUCAAUGGUCAGAGCAACCGCCACUGUCAAGGCGGAAGCUGCGGGUUCGAGCCCCGUCAGUCCCG